UGCAGUCGAGCGGGGUUUUCGGACCUAGCGGCGGACGGAUGAGUAAUGCGUAGGAAGCUACCCGAUAGAGGGGGAUACCAGUUGGAAACGACUGUUAAUACCGCAUAAUGUCUACGGACCAAAGUGUGGGACCUUCGGGCCACAUGCUAUCGGAUGCGCCUACGUGGGAUUAGCUAGUUGGUGGGGUAAUGGCUCACCAAGGCGACGAUCCCUAGCUGGUUUGAGAGGAUGAUCAGCCACACUGGAACUGAGACACGGUCCAGACUCCUACGGGAGGCAGCAGUGGGGAAUAUUGGACAAUGGGCGCAAGCCUGAUCCAGCCAUGCCGCGUGUGUGAAGAAGGCCUUCGGGUUGUAAAGCACUUUCAGCGAGGAGGAAGGGUUAGUAGUUAAUAGCUGCUAAUUUUGACGUUACUCGCAGAAGAAGCACCGGCUAACUCUGUGCCAGCAGCCGCGGUAAUACAGAGGGUGCAAGCGUUAAUCGGAAUUACUGGGCGUAAAGCGCACGUAGGCGGUUUUUUAAGUCAGAUGUGAAAGCCCCGGGCUCAACCUGGGAAUUGCAUUUGAAACUGGAAAACUAGAGUGUGUG
rnacentral:rRNA from 1 species